ACCCUUUGUUGUCCGACUCUGUUGCCUCCGGGGCGACCCUGCCUUCGGGCGGGGGCUCCGGGUGGACACUUCAAACUCUUGCGUAACUUUGCAGUCUGAGUAAACUUAAUUAAUAAAUUAAAACUUUUAACAACGGAUCUCUUGGUUCUGGCAUCGAUGAAGAAGCAGCGAAAUGCGAUAAGUAAUGUGAAUUGCAGAAUUCAGUGAAUCAUCGAAUCUUUGAACGCACAUUGCGCCCCCUGGUAUUCCGGGGGGCAUGCCUGUUCGAGCGUCAUUUCACCACUCAAGCCUCGCUUGGUAUUGGGCAACGCGGUCCGCCGCGUGCCUCAAAUCGUCCGGCUGGGUCUUCUGUCCCCUAAGCGUUGUGGAAACUAUUCGCUAAAGGGUGUUCGGGAGGCUACGCCGUAAAACAACCCCAUUUCUAAGGUUGACCUCGGAUCAGGUAGGGAUACCCGCUGAAACUUAAGCAUAUCU
rnacentral:rRNA from 1 species